UUGGACUGGAUGAUCUUAGAGCUGUUUUCCAACCUUGGUGAUUCUAUGAUUCUGUGAUGCACACAGAAGGCCCCUAUGUGUGCUUAAUGUGAGUUGGAUCCUUGAGCCAGGAUCCCCAUUACAUGUGCAAGCUUAGAUACACUCACAGCACUACAGUACCAAGGCAGGAUGGCACACAAACCUGGCAUGGUGGCUUUAGGAGAGUUGGGCAGCGCUGAGAUGAAAGACUGCCACAGUAACGCACUUCUGAAAACACAGGACCAAAUUUGGGCUGCCUGAUGCCUUUGGGCUCUGUUUAUGCCCUCAUUGCUCACGAGAGUUGAAGGAGAAAACGGAAUGCAACCCCCCUGACCUUCUAACUCUUGCAGAGGCAGAGCUGUGCAGAGACAUCUGGAUGUGCUCCUGCAGCUCAGCCAUGGAAAGCAGUACUGCUCAGGCUUGCAAAGCAGUGUGAGAGUGUGUACGUGCAGUCUGUAGCCUUCUUCCUCAUUCCCAGUUUCCUCCGGUGCAAUGCUUUGCUAUAGCUGACCUCUUCCUGCUCCAUACCUGCAGAUCACCCCUGCCCUGCUGCGAGACACUGAUGCCAAUCAGUGCCUUUGAUCCGUUCCCCUUUCAACUCACACUGCCAUCUUCUCCCUUGUCUUCCUGAAGGCUCUGCUCCAAACAAAGACCAUACAGCUGCCACAUCGCUCAUUAGUGCUAAUGGCCAUUGCACAAUGCCCAGCUGCAGUGUGGCUGUACAGUGUGCUAGGAGUAUAUCUCACCUAUAUAGUGCAGGAUUGCCAGCCAAUGCGUUUGAAUGAGGGGCAUCCCUUGUUGCAGCUGAAUUCAUCAUUCACGGAAGCCUUGAGAAGUCAAAGUAGGAAAAAGCCUUCGUGGUGUCUCUCUAUUUACAUCUGAGCUGUAUCUGUAUCCCCUCUUGCAUGAGGCUUUGCUGCCCCACAGCCAACUGUUGCUGCACUGCAGUAAGGGUGGAGCUGGUGUGCGGCAGUUCGCACUGAUGAGGGCACAUCGCGGAAUGUGUCCUGAAUGCGGCUGAGUGAAAUGAGUGCUGGGGCUGAGUGAUGAAGGCACAGGGCUGUGGGAGUCUGAUGAAUGCUACCGUGACUUGGAAACAAUGGAAAGUGUUAAAUAAGCCCUAAUUCCCCGCUGGCACAUGGACACACUAUAAAUAAACAUUGCAGGCACGCAAAUAGCGCACAGCUCCCAGGAGCUGGAUCACCCUGCUGAAAUAGCAGAGGUGUCUGCUGCUCGACAAUGGAGGGAUUAUGUAGGGCCAAAUGAUGCAAUUCAUUUAAAUGCACACUGUACGGCAACAUAAUUGUUGGAAACCAUAGUGUUUGCCCCUUCACAGCGAUUCCCAGAAGUAACUCCUGCAAGGAGCACACACCCAAGGCAGUCAGAAGUUCUGGAAUGGCAUUCUUGUUGCUCAACACCUGGUUAUGCAGAUAGAGGAGAAAACAGAGUGACACCUCAGCCCAUAGAGCAGAUAAGGGUGUGAGAAUCCACUUGCUGGCUAGCACAUGAAAGCAUGAUGACCUCGCCCCACGUCGAGGAUUGCUCAAGCCAAAAGAGAUGGCAGUAUUGAUACACACAUCUUCUUUAUAGUCAGAGGGUAACACUCUUUCCAGUGUAUGCUGCUGAGACUGCCUUCAGACCUUAAGCCUCGAAUGGAGAGAAGGUGCAGUGCCUGUUGAGCAAAGCACUUGCAAACUUGUUCACAGCUGCCUGCAGAGUAGGGUCACCAGAGUUCUGUCUUUCGUUAUUCCAUCCAAUGGAAGACUUUCAGAAAAACCCACAUGUAAUUAGAAGAGGUUGAAGUAACAGGUUCUUAGUUUUCUUCAGACUGAGAUUGGUGGCUCUGCUGUAUUAUUCUCCCACAGGGUGAGAGGGUGAUCAUCCCCGCAUUAUGUAGAAAGGAGAUCCUCUGGGUCAUAGAAUCAUUGCAUGUAUUCAGGGUCUUCCUAAUAAAGUAAAGCUUGAAUCAAACAGAAUUUUGUGUGCCCUCAGUAUUUUCCAGGAAUGGUUCCUGGAGUUCCUAUUUUGGUCCACAACUUGAAGAAAUACCAGUGGGUUAAUUUAUUGACCAGCAGAUGUUGACAUCUGUGGCUCAGGAGUUGGAAAGAGGACAAGGGAGAUGGCACAGUGUUCCUUCCUCCUUGUCCUAGCCGAGGUACAGAGAUCAUCUUGAAAAUGUGAGAUGCGAAAAAAUAGGUGGAGGAUAGAAGAUGGGACAGAAGCGAUACCCAAACCCUUGCACCAGCGAAACACAGGGAGGUUUUGGAGCUGAUACCAACUCAAGAGUCCCCCAGAAAGAUGCUUGCAACUGAUGCUGAUACAUAUCCCAAAGCACUCAGGAGUUCCUGGGCUGUAGGCUGGCCUGCAGCUCCAGGUUUUCUACACUUCACUAGCAAUGAAUCAAAACCUUCGUUCCCAAUCCUGGCACAGGUUUUUCAAGUUACUUGAACGUGCUCUGAGGAAGAGACAGUAAAGAUGAUGAAUGAAGAAAGCAAAAGGGAAAACUGAUUUUUCCCUUUCUGAUCGUUUUUAGUCAUUUUAAAAGCUGCACUUUAACUGACCAACAGAAAGUUAUACAGGGGUCUCCUGUUGGUUAUAAUGUGAAGUUAUAGCAGAACACUACUGCAUGUUUCCAAACUGUGGGAGAUGGACUGGACCCCUAGUUAUAAUGAGGUUCUUGAUGCCUGCUGGAAGAAAAGGAUCUUUGGGUAUCUGGACCUGGCUGUCCGAUGUCUUCACUUCAAAUGUAUUAACAAGUUGAGUCAGUGGCCACAUCAGAUCAUGUCCAGACUUUUCUAUCAUGGAUUUGCUUCAAGUCAAAUCAACGGCACUGUCUGGUAAGCAGAUAUUCUUGUUGAUGCGCACAGAAGUGUUCAGUGAGAGGGCACUUCAGUGUGCAAGUAUGUGUGCAUUGGUGGGCGUAAGAAGCACAGGGUUCAUUCAGAAUGUUACCUAUCCAUUAGCCAAGAUAAUGAGAGAGUAAAGGAAUUAUUUAAGACAUCAUGACAAUAUGGAGGAAGCUGUUUAUUGCAAGCUGGCUGAAGUAUGGACAGAAAUCCCUGAUUUACCCACUUAGAGACACUCUCAGUGUAGUGGAUCCAACAAGCAGGUUCUCCCUUGGUGUUAGAAAUGGAUGCCACUAGAGCACAGUCUGGGCAGCAGUGAUUCAGAAGUUUGUUUCAGGACAAACACUGCUCCUACUUCAAACAGCUGCAGAUGGCUGCAUGGUUAUUCAGACCAAGCAGCCAGGGGCUGUUGACAGCCAGCUCCUGUCCAGGGCAAAAAAAUCCCAUCCAUGGCUUUUUAAUGCUUAUUGGCUAGCUCUCACUCAAAAGGCAGAGCAUGGCAGAAGUGCUCAAGAGUAUUCAUUUCAUCAGAAAAAUCUGUUUCAGUGAGAAUAUAGAUUUUAAAUAGUCCUUUGAUUUAAAAUUUAAUAAAAUGAAUCAGUGGGAAUGUUUGGGUUUACCCCCAAAAUGCUGCUCUGCUUGUUAACUGGAUGAAGGUACGAGGGAGGCUCCACCCUGGUAUUGCUUUGGUUGUAGAUGCUCUCUGUGCUCUCUGGAAACAGCAGAGGUUUCUAGAGCCAUUAAAUAUUUCCGUGCGUGACUGAUGUGCACUUUCUUCUGCUUACCUGCACUGCUAACGCACUUUCCCCAGGAGAUGGAAUGUUUGCUGUACCAAAAUAGCAACAGGAUGAAUGAAAGUUCAGGCAAGGCUAUAUAUAGAAAGGGCACCGGGUUUCACCGUGCGUACAUGAGCUGCCUCACACCCACUUCCUCAUCUGCCAUUAACCUGGGGAGCUGAAUGAAAUCACCUUUCUGCACUUCAGGAGAACAAAUAUCAGAACAAUAAAGAGACCAAAUUGCUACAGAAAGUCACUGAAUUUCUGUAUAGGGAGGAUGGAGAGAUGAUUAUAGACAUAUAGAAUGCUAUGCCCCAAAACCGAGGCUGCCAAAUGGUAUAAACAUCAGCAAUGCUCACGUGGGAAUCUAAGGAUGGAAGAAUGAAAAUACCUCGGGCAGUUUUUCACCUUCCCCAUUCCUCUUGAGCAGUCCCUCUGGUGCACGCUGUGGGGCAGAGCCGGCUGCAGCCAACCUCUGCUGCAUGGUGCAACCGUCACCAUAAAGGCUCAUAAACCCUCUGACGACAACACACUUCCUGGUGUUUCCUCCAGACUGGCACCGUCCAGGAGAUCUCUCGUGGAAGGAUGUCAGUAGUCAAUAGCUGACAUCAAGAUAAAAAAGAAAUAAAGCUGAAGAAUGUGGCUGAGUCAGGCCAGAUGAGAUGAGGUGGAAUUUACUGCUUUUAGUCUUGCUUGUUGGAAAUGGAAACCAGACAAAAUCUCACUGAGAAGAAACUCCUGCCCAAAAUGCAGGCUUAUAAAAAUGUAAUGACGAGCCAAGGGGCUGGGUUUGUUAUUGUCUCUGCAUGUGGCCUGACAUCUGCAUAUGCAAUGGGAUGUCCUUUUCUCUCUUUACUGAGGUUGUUUGAAGGCUGGCAUGUGUAACACUUGGCCCUGUGGUAGUUUCGUGCUGUUUCCAGGUGCAAAUGUGAUAAUGAGUAACAGAAGGCAGCACCACGACGUGUCUCAAUGCGUCUCGUCUGCCGAUGGGAACCACACACCACUUGUGCACGGCUGUCUGAGCGAAGCUCCCUCUGAUCCUUAUCGUUUCACUCCCAGCAAUGGAAGUGGCUGUACGUAGAGAAUUUUUGACUUGAAUAAUGUUGAGGAAACCAACUGGAAAUGCUGACAAAACAGCUUCCUGCCUCCUCUCUGAGCCGUGAGCACGCUGGGUGUUUGCUCAGCCUCCUUUCCAUCUGUGUGCUUGGCGCUGGGGCUGGGUGGAGGUGUGCUGCUGCACCACUCCUUGUUACCUUGGGAUUGCAUGUGCCAGGUCAGAGGGUCACUGCCAGUCUCUUCUCUCCCUCCUCUGUCCCAAAACAUUGCCACAGGAAAACCGUCAGAGCGAGAAAAGAACUGUCACAGCGUUUAUAAAAGUGCUGCAAUAUGAAGCUGUUUAUCCAGGGCUUGCACUGCUGUACACAGUGUGAGCAAGGAAAUAAUCUGUCUGGGAAGGUGCUGCUGUACAUGAAAGCAUCUGCCUGCAGCUAGAUCCAUCAAAGAGGAGAUCUGUGGAUUGAUCUUCCCAGUAGGACAUCUCCCAUCUGCAGAGCAUUCCAAAGUUCUUUGAUUGGCCCCGCUGUUGAGCAUGACUCCAGCAACAUGAUGAAACAGUGUAUCACAAGGCACAGCUCCACCAGCACUGCCCCAUAAGCAUUGCAGAGCGUCCUGAGGUGAGGUGGUAGCAGAAGCAAAGCCCUGGUAACAGGGACAAGGGAGGAGCACGUGGAAUGCUACGAGCACAGGCAACGUGUGUGGUGACAUUGAGCACUGGGAGCAGCAUUUCCCACUUUAACGCUUCAUGGAAGCCCACCUGUCUGUCAGGGACAAAGGCCAGGAGUCAGCCUGUGCCUGCACAGCGAACACAAAUACUGUGACUUAUUGUGACUUCUGCCAGUGGAAAUGUGAACUCUUAUUUACCAUUUCUACCUCUCCAUUCUGGUUCUCUGCAUGCAUGGGCACCUUCCUGCACAUUUUUCUUGCAUUUGCAGUGAUGCCGUGGACAACCUUUUUCUAACUUACGACCCACAAUAAGCUGAGUUCCUCUGGCUCAUAAAACAACGGAGAUGGAAGUCGUGACCUGCCACGGCUAUGUCAGUAGUCAAUGGAUAGUAGAAGCUGUCAAAGAUAUGGACACUGCAAAACACAUUCCCUAGGGCUGAGUCUCUGAAGCCUGAACAGCCACAUCAAGCAAUUCGGAACAUGGUCUGAUCUUGACUCCUAACCACACCCAGGUUCCCAUUGACUUCAAGGAGCAGGAUGCUGUGGGGGCAGCGUGGAAGUCACCCAAUAGAGGUCUCAAAGAGGAAACUGCUGAAUUCAGCAGCAGCAGCAUUUACAUAGAUCCCAAAGAUGCUAAGAGGUUUGCUAUGGCAAACACAGCAUGCUGCACCAAUAGUGCUACGACCAAAGGAAGAAGGACCAUUCAUUCAUUCCAGAGGAGUCCUGGGCAGGCAGACAGUGCCCUGUCCAUUGGCUGAAGGCUUGUGCAGCCAUAAUGACAGCAGUCAUAACCUUUCUUAAAGCAGCUCAAUUGUUGGAUUUCCCUGAAGGUGAAUGCUGGGCUGGGUGCAGCACUAUUCAGGAAACAACCCACAGUACCACCAGCUGUGAUGGCAGCACUCCUCAGCUCACAGUAAUCCUUCCCUUCUACAGCUGCAACUCCUGCAUGUAUGCAAGAAUCUCAUCUCAUCUUUUUUUUUUUUUUUAAUGAAGAAAAAAAAAAAGGAAAAAGAAGCAUUUUUACACCCCAUCGUUUUGCAAAAGAUAUUACAAAAUGGUUUGCUUCAAGGCCUCCAGUCUCUAGAGCCAUCAAUCUUUUUCAUCUUUCUCAUGCAUCAUUUACGUGUGGAACUCAUUGCCACUGCCCAUAUUGAAAAUCCAAAGUGUGAACUGCUCCAGAAGUGACCUAUAAAGAUCCAAAGCACAUGCACCCAGGGAUCAUAAUGGUGUGAGUGUUAUGUUACUGUCUUUAAUUUCUUUUUUCUUUUUUCAAAGUGUAUAUCCCACAGGCAAAGUGUGUGUUAUCAGUGUUACUUCUGGUCUUGAGAAGAUGUUGCUGCACUUAUCCAUAGCAGGAAUAGGGGUUGGGGUGGAGAAAGACCUUCCAGGCCCACAUCGCAUGCAGGGACCACUGCGAUGCAUGUACUGAUUUGAUGGAGGUACAGGCCUCCACCUAUGUAUGCAGUACCAGGCUUCUGUGCCAGGAACUGCACAUUUCUUUCCAGCAGAAAUCCUAAUGGUCCUGGCAUCACUGUCCUCAAGAGCCCUGAGACAGAGCUCAGAAUUCAUUCUUUGAUGCCGAAGUCCAGCCCUGUGCUCUGCUGGGGGACAGCGUGACUAUGGUAAAUGCUACGUGAGUACCCACAGAGAAACCACUUAGUGGGCUUCUGCAUGGCUGUGAAUUCUGAUUCAUCCUAAGGCACAUGGAGGGUCCUGAAGAGUUCCUUUCCAUCAGAGCCCCAAAGAUAAAUGUACUGAGGUGGUAUAAUGCACAAGGGAAUGUAGAGAGGUGACUGUGAGACCAAUAAAACUGAAAAAUCCAUCCCGGGCAAUGGUUUUUGGACAGGCCAAGCACAUAGAGGCUAUUUCCUAACACCAAUCCCCAGGCCUUGACUUCCUGCUCUCUAUCAGGAAGGCUAUCUAGACAUUACUCUGUGACAAAAUGAUGUGCAGCAAAUAAUUACAUAGGGUCAUUUGGUGCAACUUAUGCAAUUCUGGCUUGCAGAACGUUUGCAUGACAAUGAAAUCCUUUCAAUGGAUUGCAAGGCAUUUUCAGGAGCAAUAGAGAAAAACUGAUCCUUGAGGUAUGCCUGUGCUGCAAGCGCAGAUCUCCACCAGCCUUGUCUCAUUCCAGCUUCUAACAUCAUUCAUCCACAACUGUGCCUGGGUCAAAAGAGAAACUUCUCCCUAUUCCACCCAGAGUAACAGGCUCCUGCUGUGGAGCUUGCUGCUUGCUGAGGCAGCAGAGCUGGUGUUGCUCUCACAGAGCUGGCUUGCCCUUCUGCAUUCCUUUUGGCCCAAAAGCCUUUUGGCCCAAUGCAUUUUGCCUCUUUUGCUACAGUGGAGAGAAAGAUGGUAUCGCUGUGCCAGAGAGAAGAGUUGCAGGUGGGAGGGAGGAAGGGGGAUCACGACCAGGAGGUCAGCAGCUCCAUCACUCAGAGACAGCUCUGAGACAGAAAUCACUGAAACCAGCAGAGCAGGCCUGGAAGCAGUGCUUUAUCUCAGGCAGGUACCCAGACUGACUGGCUGCAGGUUGGAGCACUUUGCUCUCUGUCUAUCUUCAUUAAUAUAAAGAAUUUGAGCUGGGGGUAAGAAUUCUGACGUGUGUAGCCCGCGUUUGAGAUAUUGUCAUAGGGUGACCCUAAGCAUCACUCAGAUCUCACAGAACUGGCAAAACCAAUGUGGAAGUAUGGAGAAAAGGAAGAAUAGGAGAUGCAGAAGGCUUAAUAAUCUACUGACAAAUGUAUUCUCAGAGUGCAUCUAAUUUGCAGCACAAAUUUAGGGCACAGGUGCUCUUCCAGUUGCUGGGAAUGCUGAGAAGACUCUGAAGGCAGACCAGUAUAACUGUCCUCACCCACUAUGCUCACUGCCAUGCUGCACAGACAGCCAGGUGGUGGAGUUCACCCAGAGCUGGUUGGAUCACACGUUUCUUCAAAUAGAGCCACUGUGAAGGAAGUGGGAUACUUCCUGUAUUUGGGUACCUUUGGAAAUAGCAUGUCUGUACAGCACUCAUUUGGCUGCCUUAUGUGUAUGCCUGAUGACAGAGCCCCAUUACACACACAGGCAACAUUUUAUUUCUGCCUCCUUUCCUAUGCAGGACAGGGCCUGCUCUAAGGAUGAAUCAGAGGACUAUUGUCUAGAGCAUCCCUUCUUCCACAUCUGGUUUGGAGUACCCUUCUUGCACUGCUGCUUCUUGCCUCCUUCUGGUGAAUGUUUCCAGGGUCUGGCAGAGGGUAUAAAGAAGACCCACGCUGUAACCUGGCUUUUUUCCAUCAGGAGAGCUCAAAGCUGAUGGUGUCUGUUGUCCUCCUUUCACUGAUCUGGAAACUGGGGCACAGAGAGGUGAAAGUCAACCAAUGCACAAUUGGCAUCCAAUACAUCAGGAUGUCAUGGUCAUACUGUGGCCACAGCUUGCCAAUGUCUCCUUCUCUCAGGGGCAACUGCAGGACUCCAGAUGGUCUCUCUGGACAGAGAUGGGGCUGAGCUUGAAUCUGCAGCACAAUCCCUUUGAUCUCUGAGCCUCAGAAGGUUGGCUGCAGCCCUGCAGGUGCUCAGAAGAGCUGGAACCAUCCCCAGUGUGGGUCACCACAGCAGCUGAGGGAGUGUUUUGUUUCGCUGUAACCAUGGUUGCAGCAGCCCAUAAAUGUGCACAUUUCCGUUCUGGAGCACCCAUGGAGUGAUACAGAUGUCCCUGGUGCCUCAGGGCUGGUACCACGCAGCACAGUUAUUUGGUACAGCAGUGACACACCACUGCUGGGCAUGCCAGGCUGUGUGUGCAAAGUGAGGAGUCACCCAAGGUUUAUGAGAGGAAGGAGUGUUCUCACCUACUCAGGAAAGGAAUUAGGUGAAAGGUGGAAGUUCCUCCAUUUUCUCAGCACAAGCCCUACAUCCUCAGUGCACAGAAACCUGGGGUUUGUGCUAGGGUGAACUGUGAAGUUCAGAGUGAAGGAUUCCAUGAUUUAUCUCAUUAAUGAUACAUCCAGGCAAUGGGCUCAAUAUGUAUUUUUCAGCAUCUGUAAAGGAGGACUCCUCUACCAGGAGUAAGAGUGUAAGUGUGUCCUUUGCCCACCAACAUUAGUGAGAGCACAGGAGCCUUUGGAGCAGCUUCGAUGUGGCAGUGCUCCUCUGCUCUCCUGGUUGACAGGAACCAGAGCUGCAGAGGUGACACUGACACAGUGGCAGAUGGCAGAGCUUCCUGCGCUGACCCUGGCUGGGAGGAGAUCCUAUCUCCCGACAAGUUUGUCUAGCCGGAUAAUGACGGUAAUUAGCCAGGAGGCAAGGGGGCGGAUCGGAGUGUUCUGCAUGAGUAAGAGGGAUGUUUUAUGGCAUGGAAUUAGGAGGAGGAUGGAAACUGUUAAUAUCCUCAAGAAAAGCGCUGGAAUAGCACAGAGGACUGACCCUGGCAGGAGAUCCCCCAUUCCGUAAAGUGGACAGCUUGGAAAGAAAAGUAAUGUUGUUCAGAAUAAGCCCAUACUAAGCCAGUACCAGCACUGAGCAGCAGCAUGGUGACCCUUAUCAGUACCCCUGCAGUUACAGAGCUGCUCGGUGGAGCAUGCCUCCCACUGCGCCAGUAGAUCAUCACCUAUCCUUAUCUCAUGUCGUUUCCAGUCAAAUAUUUGCAAAGUGCUCAAAUACCGGGCAGAUAACAGCCCACAGACACGGAGAAAAGAGAAUGUUUAAUUCAAAAGGGCACGGCUUCUCUUCCUGCAGAAAAAUGCCUUUAUAAAGCAAAGGUGAGACAUUCUUUGCAAACAGGUAGCCCUGGUGGCACAAGGCGAUGCAGUUUUGUCUUCUUGGGGUGCUGCCAGACACCCUGAAAUGAUAGUGUGGAAAGGAGGAAUGUGAGAUUUCCCCUUUCAUCAUAAUGGUUGCUUUGAAGCCUAAUUAUAGCCAUUUGAACACCAACCCAUUCUCCAUGCUGCUGCUGAUCACUGGGCUGAAAUGUACAGCCAGACAGGGUAGUCCUCUGCUGGAACUGGUGUUGUGGCUCACGGAUUACACAGGAGUUUGGAAAGGGCAUGGAGCAGUGGAGGCCUGGGCCCAACUUCCCCACUGUGCUGAGAUGCACGAUGGGUCAUGUGGCAGUGUGGCCACUGCAUGGUGGUGCUUGGCAUGCAGGCUCUUGUUCAUCACUGGCAAAAAUGAAUAGCUGACGGUGGUGACUAUGUUGAAAAAUAGUGUU